UACAGAAUCAGCUCAACUAACUGAGUGUCACAAUCAGACAGUUUAUGAGUUUAUUAAUCAGAAUCAAACACAAUAUCAGAUUAUCAUCAUCAUAUCUGCUCUGAUGAACGGACUUCUGCUCAUUCUGCUGAUAGUUUCUGCUGCUGGAAAAACAGAACAGUUGGAAAAACACAUUCAUAAUGAUGAUCUGCAAACAAAAGUUAUAUAUCGACCAUAAGAACCAAACAAACUGUACCAAUUGUAAUGUAAA